AUUUCUGGCUUUGGACACUUGGAAUCAAUACUGCUGUUACUUCAGAUAGACAUCAAGUAAAGUCCAUCUGUGUGAUUUCUUUGAGUCUCUGAGCUGGGGACUUUGUCAAAGAGAGAUGUGCCGUGUGAUGAAUCAGGCAGCUUUUGUUUUUUGUCUGGGGAUGGACUCUAUGACAAGCAAAAAGUGGCCCAGCUGCUAAUAGAAUGUUAACAAUAAAAGAUCUGUGUACCAAACUGGAGUUAGGAAUGGACUGAAGAGACAAUGGCUGUUUCAUGGACUCUUGUAGAAAAGCCAAAGAGUUGGAUUCUGAAUCAUGAUUGCCAUGGCUUCUACACUGUGCAAGCAAGUAACGUGACAAACAGAGCAACAAGGAAGAGCACUAUGAUUGUUGACUGGUUGAUAUUGUACCUAGGGCUGGAUCUUGGAACUGGACUGUUCCUACCUGGCAUCUGCAGGCAACAUAUUGUUGUAUCGCAACAUAUUGGUGACUUAGUACACAAAAUCACCCUAAAAUUGAGAACUGGCCAAGAGAAAACUGUGAGAAGAUCGAAUGCAGGUACACUUUAUAUUCAAAACUGAGCUGCAAGGUUCAACACUGCCCAACUAAGGAAGGAAGUCUAAGGAAGAAUUUAACAUAUCAAACCUUGCUAUUUCAAGAGAGAAAGAGAAUUCCAGAGAAUACAGUACACACAGUUUAGAGGGCCAGUUUGCUGCAAUGGUUAAGGUACCAGGCCAGAAACCAGGAGAUCCUGAGUUCUAGUCCUCUUUUAGACACAAAGCCAGCUGGAGGACUUUAGGCCAGUCCCUCGUCCUCAGCCCUAAGGAAAAGGCAAGGGCAACCUAGUUCUGAAAUCUUGCUAAGAAAUAUGUUCAGGCAGUCGACAGGAAUCAACAGACUCAAAAGCAGCAAAUAUAGACAUACACACACUUUACCAUUAUGGCUGAACUGGAAGUCACACUCAGGCAAAGGAUGAAAAGCAUAGUAGUAUUACUGUCCACCAAACAGUGAUUUGAUCAUUACUGAAAAAAGAUAUUAAUCCACCAGAAACCUCAGUAGGAUCAAUGCCUCAGCAAAGCCAUGUAAAACCAAAGCCGUACUCAUGGAGAUCCAUCAUCCUUGUAGAGCAGGCAUGUCCAUCCUUGUAGACCAGGCAUGUCCAAUCUUCAGCCCAUGGGCCACAUGCAGCCCUGGACAGCUAGUAAGGCAGCCCCACUAUUAAAAAAUAAAGGAAGUUUGUUAUUUAUAUGCAUUAA